rnacentral:rRNA from 1 species
UACGGGGGGGGCAAGCGUUGUUCGGAAUUACUGGGCGUAAAGGGCUCGUAGGCGGCCAACUAAGUCAUACGUGAAAUCCCUCGGCUUAACCGGGGAACUGCGUCUGAUACUGGAUGGCUUGAGAUUGGGAGAGGGAUGCGGAAUUCCAGGUGUAGCGGUGAAAUGCGUAGAUAUCUGGAGGAACACCGGUGGCGAAGGCGGCAUCCUGGACCAACACUGACGCUGAGGAGCGAAAGCUAGGGGAGCAAACAGG